rnacentral:misc_RNA from 1 species
AUGGACUCCUUCUUUGAGUCUUUGUUUCUUCCAAUUAUAUUAGCUAGGCAGUCUAGUGAUUAGACAAGGUACAAUGAUUGGAGCAGGCAAAUUAUGAGGUUACAGAUAGCCUAUGUCUUGAACCACCAGAGAAGGCAUCUCAAUUUCCAAAGUAGCCCCACCAUGACUAGCUAGUCUAGUGUUUGACAGGUUAAAUAAUGAUCCAUUUUUGUGUAUGCUUCCUAUAAAGAAGGAUUCUAGCAAAAUUACCAUGAACUUUAUGCUGCAUCAAAGGUUAAUGUCCUUCUGAAACUGAUCUCAAUAGGACGCAGAUUAUCAUUCGGUCAUUUGGGACUUUGGGUUGUGUUGAUUGG